UACAGAGGUCCCAAGCGUUGUUCGGAUUCACUGGGCGUAAAGGGUGCGUAGGCGGUCGGGUAAGUCUGGCGUGAAAUCUCCAAGCCUAACUUGGAAACUGCGUUGGAUACUAUCCGGCUCGAGGAAUGGAGGGGAGACUGGAAUACUUGGUGUAGCAGUGAAAUGCGUAGAUAUCAAGUGGAACACCAGUGGCGAAGGCGAGUCUCUGGGCAUUAACUGACGCUGAGGAGCGAAAGCAUGGGGAGCGAACAGG
rnacentral:rRNA from 1 species